rnacentral:piRNA from 1 species
ACUGAAUGAAGGAGGCUGCGACAGUGUUGC